rnacentral:rRNA from 1 species
GACAGAGGGUGCAAACGUUGUUCGGAAUUACUGGGCGUAAAGCGCGUGUAGGCUGCUUCGCAAGUCGGAUGUGAAAGCCCUGGGCUCAACCUAGGAAGUGCAUUCGAAACUGCGAAGCUUGAGUCCUGGAGAGGAAGGCGGAAUUCUCGGUGUAGAGGUGAAAUUCGUAGAUAUCGAGAGGAACACCGGUGGCGAAGGCGGCCUUCUGGACAGUGACUGACGCUGAGACGCGAAAGCGUGGGGAGCGAACAGG